rnacentral:rRNA from 1 species
CCUAGGAGGAUGCAGGGAGGAAGAUGGGUCAAGGGGUGCGAGCCUGAACCAGCGAAGUAGCGGGAGGGAAGAUGGGCCUAUGGAUUGUAAACCUCUUUUGUCGGGGAGCAAAAGACGCCACGCGUGGCGUUCCGAGAGUACCCGAAGAAAAAGCAUCGGCUAACUCCGUGCCAGCAGCCGCGGUAAUACGGAGGAUGCGAGCGUUAUCCGGAUUUAUUGGGGUUAAAGGGUGCGCAGGCGGCGAGUUAAGUCAGCGGUAAAAUUUCGGGGCUCAACCCCGACGAGCCGUUGAAACUGGCUUGCUAGAGUGGGCGAGAAGUAUGCGGAAUGCGUGGUGUAGCGGUGAAAUGCAUAGAUAUCACGCAGAACUCCGAUUGCGAAGGCAGCAUACCGGCGCCCAACUGACGCUCAGGCACGAAAGCGUGGGUAUCGAACAGGAUUAGAUACCCUAGUAGUC